rnacentral:rRNA from 1 species
AUUGAACGCUGGCGGCAUGCUUUACACAUGCAAGUCGAACGGUAACAGGUUAAGCUGACGAGUGGCGAACGGGUGAGUAAUGCAUCGGAACGUGCCCAGUCGUGGGGGAUAACGCAGCGAAAGCUGUGCUAAUACCGCAUACGAUCUAUGGAUGAAAGCGGGGGACCGUAAGGCCUCGCGCGAUUGGAGCGGCCGAUGUCAGAUUAGCUAGUUGGUGGGGUAAAGGCCCACCAAGGCGACGAUCUGUAGCUGGUCUGAGAGGACGACCAGCCACACUGGAACUGAGACACGGUCCAGACUCCUACGGGAGGCAGCAGUGGGGAAUUUUGGACAAUGGGCGCAAGCCUGAUCCAGCAAUGCCGCGUGCAGGAAGAAGGCCUUCGGGUUGUAAACUGCUUUGUACGGAACGAAACGGUCUGGGCGUAAUACCCGGGCUAAUGACGGUACCGUAAGAAUAAGCACCGGCGUAACUACGUAGCCGAGCAGCCGCGGU